GCAGUCGUGGCCUAAUGGUUAGAGCGUCAGACUUGUAACCUGAAGGUAAACUGGAAGGUCUUGAGUUCGAGUCUCAGGUCAGCA